rnacentral:sRNA from 1 species
UCCAUCUUGAGUAAAUCAGUCAGUGGC